UUCUAUUAUUAAUUAUAAAUUACCUUAUACUCGUAUAAAAUUUCGAUUUUCAAAUAGCAAACCCGAUUUUUUCCAUAUUAUUAGAUUUAUUUAUUUGAAUAGAAGUUUUUUGUUAAAUUUUUUUAAUUAUAUUAAGAUAAAGUAAGGUAAAUUAAAACGAAUUGGAUAGUUGAAAAUUUAAUUUUUCUCAUAGUAUAUUUAGCAAAUACAUAUAUAAAUAUAAAUGAAUCUAAAAAAAAACUAUAGUAAAUGAAAUUUAGACAACCAUAAAAAAAGUCAUCUACGAUAAAAGAUAAUAAUUAUUUCUAUCUAAAUUGGAUAUUCUCAAAAUCACUCUACAGAAAGAAUUUAUUUAAAAAAUAUUAAUACUUGAAAUUAUUUAUACUUUAAUUUUAGAGGAUUGUCAUAUUUGCGACAAUACAGGAGCCACAACAUACACAGAUGUGAGUUGUUUUAAACCAUUAUGUGUAAAUUGUCAUAAUAAAGUACGACUUCAAUCUACUCUAUGCUACGAAUGUAUGGAUGAUAAAAAAAAGCAGGAACUGGAAUUGAUGCGAAAUCGUGCGGUAUUUUAUAAUACAAAUCCUUACGAAGAAAACCCUUUUAAAAUAUAAUAAAGAGUAUAACGAUUGUUGGAAAAAAAACUACUAAAAUAAAAAUUGUUAAUUUUUUUUUUUUUUCAAAAUAAAAAUAUUAUUUAUUAAGCAGAAUAAUACAAAUUUCUUUAAAUGUUGAUUAUUAAUUUUUGUAAUAUAAAAUAUAUUGGUAUCCGG